UUCCGUGUUUUAACGUCGUUCUGGGAAAUGAUGACAGACCGACAGCCCUGGAGAAUGACGCACUAUAUGUAUCCAGGGCCUACCCAAUCCUCAGCUCCUGGAGUCCUGUGAUGAGGUGGGAAUCUCAGCUUGCAUGUUUUUAAAAAAGGACUGUCCGGUUUGGCCAAUGUACAUGGCAGACGGGCAUUGCUGGCACAUGAUGGCGUAUAUCACAUUAGUAGACGUGCAGUCAGGAGGGAUCCUUUCCUGCCCGUCAAGCAGACCUAUCAAAACUGAAUGGACCAUUGUGGGACAUCACCAUGCAAAGAUUUUGCUAAUUGCUCCUUCAGUCCAUGAAGAGGCUACCUGCAAAAAGGCUCGUCCCAUCAUCUUGACUUCUGGAAGAAGGAAAUUAAAAUAGCUGACAAGACAUUUUUGCAUGUCUUUUGCUAUUUGGACGCUCACAGGGCUGGAGCUACGAAACAGAAGCAGAGAUCCCCAGUGUCAACCUGGGUUAGACCAAAAGGUUAUUCAGAGCUGACAGAUUACUACAACUCUGUCACCUUUUGAAACCAUACACUGUAACCCAUUUGUGUAUAAUAUGCUUGCCUGCUUUAACCUUGUAAUAAUGCUCUCAUUUUUUUCUUAAUUAAUAAACCCUUAGGUAAUUUACUAUAGGAUUGGCUACAGGCGUUGUCUUUGGUGUGAGAUCAAUGUAAGUGGGGUAAGUGACUGGUCUCUUGGGAACUGGGAGCAACCUGAAUAUUUUGCAAUCUUUGGUGUAUAGCAGUGGUCACCAACCAGUAGAUAGCGAUCGACUGGUUGACCCUGGAGCCUCUAACAGUCAGUGCGAUCUCCAGCUGCUAAAAGUCC